rnacentral:rRNA from 1 species
GACGAACGCUGGCGGCGUGCUUAAUACAUGCAAGUCGAACGGAAAGGCCCUGCUCUUGCGGGUCGCUCGAUAGGCGAACGGGUGAGUAAAACGCGAGUAACACGCCCCUGACUUUGGGAGAACUCUACGAAACAGGGGAUAAUACCGGAUAGGAGAUCCUGCAGCACGGGGGGGGAUGGAAAGAUUCGGUGGUGGGGGCUGGACUCGCGGCUUAUGGGCUUGAUGGUGGGGUAGUUGCUGACCAAGCCUUUGACGGGUAGCCGGCCUGAGAGGGUGACCGGCCACAUUGGGACUGAGGUACGGCCCAGACUCCUACGGGAGGCAGAAGUGGGGAAUAUUGCACAAUGGGCGGAAGCCUGAUGCAGCAACGCCGCGUGCGGGAUGACGGCCUUCGGGUUGUAAACCGCUUUCGCCUGUGCCGAAGCGUGAGUGACGGUAAUGGGUAAGGAAGCACCGGCUAACUACGUG